rnacentral:miRNA from 1 species
CUUGUUAAAAUGCAGGCUCUGAUUCAGCAGGUCUGGGCUGGGGCCUAAGAUUCUGCAUUUCUAACAAGUCC